UUCAUCUAUUUUCAGAUCGAUCCUGGGUCCUCUACUCUUUGUACUCUUCAUUAAUGAUAUAAACACCUGUUUUAGACACAGUAACUUUUUAUUAUACGCAGACGAUCUUAAGGUGUUUCGUAAAAUAACUUGCAUUGACGAUAGUGUCAAAUUACAGGAGGACCUGGACCGACUAACUGCUUACUGUUCAGCCAAUAAACUUCACUUGAGCAUACCUAAAUGCAAAGUUAUAUCCUUCACUAAAAAAAUCAACUCCAUUCAAUAUGACUAUGUGCUUUGUAACACUCCUCUGGAACGAGUCUCUUUAAUCAAAGAUUUAGGUGUACUCUUCGACUCUAAAUUGCAUUUUGAUGCUCACGUAGACUACAUCACUGCUAGGGGUUUUCAAAUGUUUGGAUUUCUGAGACGUACCUGCAGUUCUUUCAAGAAGCUAAGUACUCACCUGUUACUAUACAAAUCACUCGUAAGACCUCAGGUGGAGUAUGCUACAUGUGUUUGGAACCCAUUUUACAAUAAAUACAGUGAUCAACUUGAAACCUUACAACGUAAAUAUCUACUUAAUCUAAAUUACCAAUCUGUAAAGGUAUGGGCCUCAUAUCAAUCACUUUUGGAUAAAUACUCGUUAUUAACUCUCAA